rnacentral:lncRNA from 1 species
UAAAAUGCAUAUCAAUAGAUUUUUUAUUUUCUUUAUUAAAUAAAUAAUAUAUUGGUUUUCAAAGCAAUGAGAUUAUACAGCUAUUGUAAAUGCGUUUUGUGGGUGAUUUUAGCAUGUCUUUUGACCCCUAAAAUGUUACUGCUUGCAUUAAAAAAAAAAUGGGAAGUAUUUGAUAAGAGAUAUUUUUGGUGACUGAAAAAUACAAUCUUUCUGUGCGUAUUUCUCAAACAAGCUGAGAACUAUUACGUGAAAGCAUAAAUUUUUUAUUGACAGUAAAUUGUAGAAGAAUAAUUAUACGAAAUACAAUUAUCUUACAUAAUGUAAUAGACCUAUUCCAAGAUCUUGGACUUUGAAGUUGGAAAUUGUACUCAAAGUAAAAUAAAAUGUUCAUGAAUACUAAAUAUUAGAAAUGUUUUAUGCAAUUGACAAUGAUUGGUAAAAUUGGGAUUUAAAUUCAAAACUAGAAUUCUAAUUUCAUUCUAUGUUUGCAGUUGAUGGUCAAAUAAAAUUAGUUAAUAACCAUAGAAAAUGUCAAAAAAUAACAACUUAAGAUUCUCACUUUUAAGUAUAUUUUUAUUUUAGUUUGUAUAUGUAACUAUGAAUAACAUUUCUAUACACACACACCCACACACACACACACACAUAUAUAUAUAUAUAUAUAUAUAUUUAUAUACAACCAUAGCUGAAGUAAAAAAGUGAUUUCAUAACUCAGGCAAUUGUUGUUAUUAAAAUAUAUUAUCUUUGCAAUAAAAGCUGAGAAAUUUCAUUGGAAUCUAUUGACAACCUAUUACAAAAUACACAUGGGGUAUUUAGAUGAUAAUCACAACAAUGAAAUAAGUAAUUCUAGUUAAAAGAAACAAAGAUGUAUGUGAACAUUACGAAUGAAAUAAGUAAUACAUUACGAAAAUGUGUACGUAGACAUUCAUUUACUUACUUAUUUAAUUAUUCACGAUGCAUAUCUGCAUAAAAUUUCACUUGCACAAACCCAAUUGGAUGAAGUAAAUCCCUGAUUUCCUCGUUGCUGGAACCUCUGGCCUUUUCUUGAACAGUGUUGCAUAUCACAAAUUGUACUAUCAAAGCCUUUUAAUUGAUUAUGCUUUCUUUCUUCUUCUUUUUCUUUGUGCCUUAUUUUUCCAUUGUUGUAGGUGUGUGACCAAUGGUCAAACCCAUGACAGCUUUCCAACAAGGAAUUUGAAUAAGAAGAAUAAGCAAAAGAGAAUAUUAUGCUGCGUGGUCUCCGCAGAGAGCAACAAUUAGAAGGUGCAGGCCUCUGCUCACAAUGCCCACACAUGCACAUGGAGCCUUGCAUUAUUAUUAUGAAAGGAAAACAUUAAAAUUUAUAAAUAAAAAUGAAUAAAAAUUAAAUGGAGGAAGUUUAUCAAACUCCCUCACGUACCCAGUAGACAAGGCAGAGGGAAUCAUCAUCUUCUGCAUCCUUACACAACUUUGACCAACAUGAACUUCAAAAUAAAAAAAAGAAAUCUACAUGUAUAUAUACAUAUGUGAAUAAAUAAAUAAUAACAAUAAUAAUAAUAAUAAACAAAAAUAUGUUUGGGCGUUGCAGAAAUCACAGAGUCAUACUUGAAUUAUUUCCAGUCAAACAAGAGCUUCAAUAAUCUACAUGAAAAUUUGAAACCCAAAAGGCUGGUGAUCAGGGUACUUGGAUUCCUUUUGCCUUUUAUUGCAUGGGGAAGAGCGUCAAACAACCUCGUGUAUCACCACUGCAGAAGAUUUCAUUUUAGGCCAGAGAGACAC